CCCCGGGCGCGCUCCCGCCACCCGGGUUUCCAGGGGCCUUCUCUGUUGGAUUCAGACCCGGGGGGCGGGGGGCGGACCCGAGGGUCUGGGCAGCACGCUUGUGUCUUCUCAGGUGGAUUAAGCGAGAAAUGCAAACUCCCGGAUGGGAGUUUCAACGUGUUGCAUGUCAUCCACAGGCGCUCGAGCUCACACUCCCACCCUCGGCCCCUGAACGAAAAGAAAGAGCAUCUUCCGAGAAGAUCCUGCUUAAACACACAGUGAGAGAAGGCGACAGAGAGACAGAGAAGGAGAGAGCGGCAGAGACACAGAGCAUCCGUUAUCCUGAGAGGCCCGAAGAGGGCAUCGGAUUCCCUGGAACUGAACUGCAGAUGGCUGUGAGCUGGGAAAAGAACCCGGGUCCUCUGGAAGAGCAACCUGUGCUCUCAACUACUGGGCCAUCUCUCCAGCCACCAACCCCUACCCUCAAUUUUGUUUUGUUUCUGAAAGUGGCGGCGGGGGGUGUGUGUCUUAUUCCGUAGUCCAGGCUAGCUUAAAAUCCACGAGGUUGCCCAGGCUGGCCUCAAUUUCCCUGCCUCAGCCUUUCUUGAGCUGGGAUUAUAAACAAAUUUACACCCAGCCUGAAUUUGCCUUUUAAAUACUUCUAAGCUAUAACAAGCCCCAGGCCAGCCAAAGCUACAGAGUGAGACCUUAGUCUCACAAAAGAAAACAUUAGGUGCUUUGCAAAUGUUCAUCUUCUGUUCAGAUCUUCUGUUUUCCAAGCUGAGUGUUCAUUCUCUCCUCUCAAACUGUAUGGAAUCCAGCUUCCUAGCCCCCUCCCCGCCCCUGGCCACACACACACAUUCCACACACCUGCCUUACCCCAUCUUGGGCCCAGCCUUUCAUACAUAUACCUAUCUAAGCUAAGGCACUCUGACACCAUUCCCUCACAGCCAUCCGUCCUUGCCUGAGCUAAAGACAAGGCUGAUCUCCAAGGUCUUUGCCUCACGUAGAGGCUCCUAGCGCAUUUGGGGUUAGGUUUCCACACAUUCUGGAACAAGAGAGACAACCCAGAAAGAAUCGAAGCACCCCUCCGUCAUUGCUAGAGGCACUGGCAUUUGGAUAUGUCUUUUCUACCAUGUGAAGCGGUGUACAUCUGCAAUCUCAGCCCUUGGGAGCUGAGGCAGAAGGAUCAUGAGUUCAAGGUCAGCCUGGGCUCCGUGGCAAAUUUGAAGCCAGCCUGGACUACAUAGCAAGUUGAAUGCCAGCUUGGGCUACAUGAGAACAUACCUUAAUGCCCCUCCCCUCAAAACACUGUAUUUCUGUUGGUUCAUUCGGUCCACAAACAUAUUUUGCACCUAUUCUAAUUUAUGUGUCUGUGCGUGUAUGUUUGUUAAAUGUUCACCAGUGCAUGUCUCUAGCCAGAAGCUAGAGGAAGGCUCUCUUGCUUUCCCCCUUACUUCUUUGACACGAGGUCUCUCGAUGAACUGAAGCUUGCCAUUUUUCAAUUUGGCUGGCUGACCAGCAAGCCCCCAGGUUUCUCCUCUCCCUGAGCCCC